UGGUGAGGGUGACAGUGGGUUGAUGACGGUGGGGGUGGUGAGGGUAUUGUGACUAGUAAUGGAAAGACAGACUGAGGUAGCAUUGUGUUGUCAUGGCUACUUGUACCCUGCGUGUGAUAGCGCAUAUCUGAUAACAGUAAUGGUGUCUACACUCUAGGUUGAUGCAAUAUUAGGUUAUAUUAGUUAACGUUUUAUUACGUAAAAUUUUAAAUUUAGGUUAUGUUAGGUUAACUUUAUAUUGUUAAUGUUAUAGUUAAUUAUAUGUCAAGUUUGAGGUCUAGUUUGUUUACUGGUAAACUAGUCAUUUAUACUGCUUCCCAUUUGUGUAUGGUCAGUUCUUAAAAUAUGGACUAAUUUUCUUACACAAUAACGUCUCCAGUCCCUAAAACUCAUUCCCAUCACAACUUGUAGCACGGUCUAUAGGUAGACUUCCAGUGUUAUUCUUUGGUUGAUGGAGAAGAUUCGACAGGUAGUUUGGCCACCGUUUUUGCAACACUUAUGAUGUAUUGGAUAACUAUGAACACAAGUCAGGUGUACUGCAUCAUUACUGUUGUAAACAGAAACCAAUAUAAACCAUCUUGUCUCAUUUAGUGGUUUUCUUCCAGCUCAGACAACUUGUGAAUAACAAGAGCCAAGGCAAGCUGCAAGUUUCUACGAGUGCACCUUCCGGGCACCUCCACUGUACAGUAGAGUUACAGUUGUCACUGUAGAAGGUGUAGUGCUGUAUAUCACGUCAGAUGUCAUCCUCCCCUUAAUUGUCAUGUUUGUGAGCCACACUGGAGUCUUCCAGGAUGCACCCUCCCAGUCUCAGCUGACACAAGACAGGUGAAGAUAUGCUGGGUUUUGCUGUAACCUCUACUUUUGGCUGAGGUACAUAGGGAUUUUUCUGACACCCUUUAUAUCUACAAUGACCAUCACUCCAGCUAUGUGGCAACAGAGAGUAUGGAAACCUUACAAUGGUUACUUCGCCAUGACAAGACCACUACAGCGGCAUCAUUGUGACCUGCAAUCCUCUGGCAUCCAGCACACACACACCACAACAGCAUUUAUGUGUAAGGAUGACAAACACCUGCCAUCCACCCCUCACGUGUAUGGGUGACCACCACCUGCCGUUCAAACACUCACGUGUAUGGGUGACCACCACCUGCCAUCCACCCCUCACGUGUAUGGGUGACCACCACCUGCCAUCCACCCCUCAAGUGUAUGGAUGACCACCACCUGCCAUCCACCCCUCAUGUGUACGGAUGACCACCAUCUGCCAUCGACCCCUCAUCAUCAACGCAGGUAUGUGAUGCAUCAAUAAGGUGUGGAAGAAGAUACCCUGAUAUCAAUCCAAAGGAUCUGUUUUUUGUGGUUUGUACGAUGCUUGUUGUUCAGUAUGGGGUGGCAUCUGGUGACUUGUGCGGAGGGGGAGGGAGA